GACGAACGCUGGCGGCGUGCCUAACACAUGCAAGUUGAGCGACGAACCAGGGCUUGCCCUGGGGCAAAGCAGCGAACGGGUGAGUAACACGUGAGUAACCUACCCCGAUGACCGGGACAACUCGAGGAAACUCGAGCUAAUACCGGAUGCGGCGUACACCUACAAGGGUGUCCAUCCAAGGAAGCUUCGGCCUCCGCAUCGGGCUGGGCUCGCGGCCCAUUAGCUUGUUGGUGAGGUAAUGGCUCACCAAGGCUCCGAUGGGUAGCUGGGCCGACAGGACGAUCAGCCACAGUGGGACGGGGACACGGCCCAGACUCCUACGGGGGGCAGCAGUGGGGAAUCUUGCGCAAUGCGCGAAAGCGUGACGCAGCAACGCCGCGUGAGGGAAGACGGCCUUCGGGUUGUAAACCUCUUUCAGGAGGGACGAAGGUUCGCCGGCGAAUAGCCUGGCGGAUUGACGGUACCUCCAGAAGAAGCCCCGGCUAACUACGUGCCAGCCGCCGCAGUAACAC
rnacentral:rRNA from 1 species